AUAGAGAGCUGAUAAUGAUAUUGUUUUAUGUAGGUUUAUUGUUUGCUGAUUAUAAGGCUAUUAGCCUACAUGGAUUAUUGGUCACAAGUCUAAAAAAACAACAUUAAACAGAUGCCGAUGAUUGACAACACACAUUUGAAACUAGUUCCGCCCUAGACCGCUGGUUAAUAACGAUUAUUCACUAUCUUGUUGUUCUUUUUUCUCUUUCUUUACCAGACAAACCACUCAUCCUGCGCCCGCUCUCGUACUGUUUGCUCGCGGAGUUUGAGGUCACAUGUGUUUGUAUCGUGAACUCGAACCCGCGGGCUGCGGUGAGGUGGAGUGUGAACGGGAGUGUGCCCUCUGGUGGGUACAACGUGUCGGUGGAGGGGGACUCGAGUGAAGUGAGGUCAUGGCUGCACUGGCGGAUGGACGGACGACAAAGGGUCACAUGUCUGGCGGAGAACCAGCUGGGAGAUGACUCGCUGACCCUCAUGCAGCCCGGAGAAGUGAGCUCCCCCUGGUGGCUUGUGGCGGUAGCAGCGGUCUGUGUCCCUGCGUGCACCUCAUCUCUGCUGCUGCUGUACUGCUGCCGUCGACGCAAGAGAGUACGGCGUGUGUUGAACAGACACCGUGGUGCAUAUCUCAGGGACAUGGCAGUUAAGACUCCGCUCUAUAUUAACUGCACGGAGGUGACACAUGUCUAUUGCAACGGCAGCUAUCAACUGGUUUACCAGAACGCCACGCCCCUCUUUGUACGCACCAAUCAGGUAACAGGCCUCGCCCUCUUCUUCUGUGGUGUAAACUGUUAGUACAGAGCCGUCUAUAGAACAGUAUUACGACUUUGCCACUACAGAACAGUACUAUAGAAAGGCAUUACUACAGUACUGCUACAGAACAGUAUAAGAGAACAGUGAUACUACUAACACCAUUUUGGAUCCGUUCAUUUUUUUUCAGGCUCGGCCGAUAGGAAGAAGAGGAGGAGAGAGGCGCAUGCGAGCAAGAAGAGAGAGAGGAAGAAGAGAUGGAGCGACACGAAGGGAGACGAGCAGCAGAGAGGAAACGGAGACGGCCAUCUACGUUGAGAUCCUCUGACACUUCGCACAUCCAUAUGUUUAUAAUUUGAUUAAAGGACAACAUGUAACAUAAAGAGAAAUUAAAACAAUUCCGUUUUUAUUUUUUUAUUCAAAGACGACGCCACCUCUUGAUAUGAGUAAUCAUCAGGCCUUCAUGGUAGCAUCCUCCCCUUUGUGGUAUCAGAAAAACUCACUUUAUCUUAACAUUUCAACUGAUGAUGAUUUCUUAUUUCCCUUGACCAUUUGUUGUGGGGGUCGUCUGUCCCUCACAUGAACUUUUAUCCAUGUGGUCGUUGUGAGGUGUUGUGCAUUUCUGUAUACAUAAAAGAAAAACACUUAAAAGUCGAUUAUUUCCCAUGUGAAUAUGUUCAUGUGAUAACAAGAAUAUGCUAUAACUAUGAACAUUAUAUAAUACAUACAAUAUGACGUAUUAUACUCCAUAUAUAUAUAUAUAUAUAUAUAUAUAUAUAUAUAUAUAUAUAUAUAUAUAUAUAUAUAUAUAUAUAUAUAUAUAUAUAUAUAUAUCAGUUAGAAUAAAGGGGAAUAGGAAUAGGAAUUUGUGGUGAAUGUGCAAAUGUCUAAUAAGAACUAGAAAUUGAAUUUCCCUCAGAAAACGCGUGUGAAUGCUGACGGCUGAAUGAAAAGCGCCGAGCAUUGCUGAAAACAAAAAAUGUAAAAUCAAUGGAACUAAAGAAUCUGAAAGGUGUAGCAGUAGCUGAAGUAGUAGUUGUAGUUGAAGUAUAAGUAGUAGUAGCUGAAGUAGUAGUAGUAACUGAGGUAGUAGUAGUAGUAGCUGAAGUAGUAGUAGAAGCUGAAGUAGUAGAUAGUAGCUGAAGUAGUAGUACCAGCUGAAGUAGUAGGUAGUAGCUGAAGUAGUAUUAGUAUCGUUUGGAGUAGUAGUAAUGGUAGUAGUAGUAUUGGUAGGAGUAGUAAUGGAAGUAGUAGUAUUGGUAGGAGUAAAAUGUAAAUGUAAUAAGACCCGCCAUACACAGAAAUAUCAA
ensembl:lncRNA